AUGAAAUUUAGUAAAUUGUUGCUGUUCAAAGAAAAACAAGUAUCUCAAAAAAUGGCACCUUUACAGGAGAGAACCAAAAAAACAACGUCGAUGAAGAUGAAGAAGACGUUUCAGAUUUACCACGACCCUAUCUGGACCGAGCGGUUAACGCUGAUGAAGAUGAAGAUGAAGAAGACGUUUCAGAUUUACCACGACCCUAUCUGGACUGAGCGGUUAACGCCGAUGAAGAUGAAGAUGAAGAAGACGUUUCAGAUUUACCGCGACCCUAUCUGGACCGAGCGGUUAACGCCGAUGAAGAUGAAGAAGACGUUACAGAUUUACCGCGACCCUAUCUGGACCGAGCGGUUAACGACGAUGAAGAUGAAGAAGACGUUACAGAUUUACCACGACCCUAUCUGGACCGAGCGGUUAACGCUGAUGAAGAUGAAGAUGAAGAAGACGUUUCAGAUUUACCGCGACCCUAUCUGGACCGAGCGGUUAACGCUGAUGAAGAUGAAGAUGAAGAAGACGUUUCAGAUUUACCGCGACCCUAUCUGGACCGAGCGGUUAACGCUGAUGAAGAUGAAGAUGAAGAAGACGUUUCAGAUUUACCACGACCCUAUCUGGACUGAGCGGUUAACGCCGAUGAAGAUGAAGAUGAAGAUGAAGAAGACGUUUCAGAUUUACCACGACCCUAUCUGGACUGAGCGGUUAACGCUGAUGAAGAUGAAGAUGAAGAAGACGUUACAGAUUUACCACGACCCUAUCUGGACCGAGCGGUUAACGCCGAUGAAGAUGAAGAUGAAGAAGACGUUACAGAUUUACCACGACCCUAUCUGGACCGAGCGGUUAACGCUGAUGAAGAUGAAGAAGACGUUUCAGAUUUCCUUCCAAGCAAUUUUGGACCAUUUCUGUUGGUCCAGUCAUCAAAUAAAAGAAAAAUGCAGAUGUUUUUCUUUGGACAGCAGCAAAAUAUGUGAUGUCUGGAACUUUGUUCUUCAGAAAGCUCAUAAGACCUGUUUUGUUAAAAAGGGACUGUAUGUAAAUUUUUUACUGUUAUUUGCAUUUAUUCUAAUGACCGCUGGUGAUUUUACAGACAAUGCGCUCUUGUUCCCGAAACCUUUGCACAGUACUGUACGUACAGCCUUACGCAAAACUGACCACCCCCAUCAGCAGCACCUGCGAUUUGACACACACUCAGUCUUUCCUUCUCUCACACACCCUCUCUCUUUUAUUUCUCUCCCUCGUUCUUUCUGGUUCUUUUCACCUCCGUUUUAUUUCCAAGGUUUAUUCACUGUAGCACAGACCCUCUUUGCUUUUCUGUAUUUCUGUCUUUUUUCCCGUUAUCUCUUUCUUUCUUUUGUUUUUUUCUCUCUGUUUUUCUUCUCUAAGCCUGUAGCACUCUUUCACGCCCCCCUCAUCACCUCUGAACACUAGUGUUUUGCACUUUUGUGAUGCUUCUGAUCUGUACUUGAGCUUUUUUAGCACCAAAGAAGGGAGUGACCCCAUCCAAUAAGAGGCGCCAGCCACUCGUGUGCUUUUAACACAGUAACUCAGGGUUUGCUUUGUAAACCAUAAGAGAACCUCCACCCGGCGCUGCUGCAGCCCAGCGCCGGCCCAGCUCACGCCAUGUCUUUAUGACUGCUUCGCGGCUGUCUGCAGAUCAUUGCAUUUUAGAGAAUGUAACCUGUCGUGUCUCCUGAUUAUUUAAAGGACACAAAUGAAGAGUUUGAUGUAAUAAGCACUGUUCAGCUUUCAGAAAGCUGCCACUUCACCAGUCCACACAGUGAAUAUACACUCACAGCCACUUUAUUAGGUAAAAGGCUGGACCCCCUUUUCCCUUCAGAACUGUCUUAAUUCUUCAUGGCAGACUUUCAACAAGGUGUUGGAAACGUUCCUCAGAGAUUCUGGUUGGUUAUUUGAGUUCCUGCUGCCUUUCUAUCAUCUGGAACCAGACUGCCCAUUCUCCUCUGACCUCUCACAUCAACAAGGCAUUUUCGUCCACACAACUGACCGCUCACUGGAUAUUUCCUCUUUUUUGGACCGUUCUCUGUAAACCCUAGAGAUGGUUGUGUGUGAAAAUCCCAGCAGAUCAGCAGUUUCUGAAAUACUCAGACCAGCCCGUCUGGCACCAACAACCACGCCACGUUCAAAGCCCCUUAAAUCCCCUUUCUUCCCCGUUCUGAUGCUCGGUCUGCACUUCAGCAAGUUGUCUUGACCACCUCUACAUGCCUAAAUGCAGUGAGCUGCAGCCGUGUGAUUGGCUGAUUAGCUAUUUGUGUUAACAAGCAACUGAACCUAAUAAAGUGGCCGGUGAGUGUAUAACACUAGGCUGCAAAAGUGACCUCAUAGUUUUUGUGAUGUCAUAGCAAACAAAAGCAUUUACAUACUGUGCUGUCAGAGCAAAACCUCGUAUCUCCAAAACAGUGACUUUACAGGAGAAGGAAAAAACCUGCUUCACUUUUAAUGGAAGUCAAUGGAACCAGAAUUUUUUUACAGGUCAGUUUCUUUUGGUCCAAUCAUCAUGAAACCUACACACAAUAUAAAGAUCAACAGAUACUUUCAAAUUAUGUCAAGAACUGAAAAAUGGCAAAAAUGGAGUUACGAGGUUUUGUUCCGACAACAGCGACAUACACAGCUGUUCAGCCUCCAGCUGUUUAGCCCCGCCCACUCACCUCCGCCGUUGAAUGUUUGUGAAUAAGGCGGCUUUCUGAAUCCAGAUUAUCGUUUCAUUUUAGAGAAUGUAACGUGUCGUGUCCCACGUGAUUGUUUAAAGGACACAUAUAAGGGAAAUCCAGAUUUUUCAAAAUAAGAGUUUUACGUAAUUUGUAAACAUUGUUAUAAUUUCAAAAAACGUACCACUUUCAUACUCCAUGCAGUCCAUAUUUGAAACUAUGCUGCAAAAGCAACUUCAUGGUAUUUGUGAUGUCAUAAUGACCCAAAGCAUUUACAUAUACACAGCUGUUCCACCUACUGCAGUUUAGCCGCCGCCCACUCAUUUUAGUGUGAAUGUUUGUGAAUAAGGCUGCUUUCUGAAUCCAGAUUAUCGUUUAAUUUUAGUUUCAACUUUUGUUUAAAGGACGCAUAUAAGGGAAAUCCAGAUUUUUCAAAAUAAGAGUUUGAUGUGGUAUGCAAACAUUACAUUUUCACUUCAGAGAAUGCGAACUGUCGUGACCCACGUGAUCUUUUAAGGGUCACGUGUGAAGAAAAAUCUAAAUAAGAGUUUGAUGUAAUAAGUAAACAUUGUUAAAUGUUAAAAAACCAUAUCCCUUCACCAGUCCAUACAGUGAAUAUAUAACUCUAAGCUGCGAAAACAACCUCGUGGUGUUUGUGAUGUCAUAACAACCCAACACAUUUACAUAUAUACAGCUGUUCAGCCUACAGCUGUUUAGCCAGGCCCACUCACUUCAGUGUGAAUGUUUUGAAUGAAGACUGCUUUCUGAAUGAGGCGCAAUACAGGCCGGCCAAUCAGAACAGAGUUCCUUUACAUAUAUCACUCUUAAAGGCGCAGUAACAAAUAAAAUCAGUUUAAUUGUGAGGGAAGUUUUAAGUGCACUUUAAGAACAGAAAAGGGAAAAUUGUAUUUGGCUUGCUUGUGUGCAGCAUUAUGAGGGUCUGUGGGGGUCUAUACAGGGUCUUCACCUUCACUCAUACUGUGAGUAUGACCUGCCGCUGCGCGAUAGAUGCUCUGGGAAAAUGACUCGGAUGCACUCAAACAGGGAAGCGUUUUUGGGAAAAGUGGCGGGAUGAUGGUAGAAGUGUGCAUAAACGUUAAGUGUGAUUCUUAUAAUCAAGUUGUCGUAAAAGAGUCUGUUAAGUUUUUAAUCUGCUUUUUUAAAACAGAAAACAGUUAUAUCAGAAACGAUGCUGACCUGCAUAUGUUUACAAUCACAUCACCUGUAAUCAGAGGAACAUGACCACCUGCCGAUGAUGCACUGAUGUUGAUUUUUUAAUGAUAUUUAUAUACCUGUUUUACUUAAUUAAACGCUUUACGCUUCAACCUGUUGGUCUAAAAAUGGAUUUCUUGCGUUUUGCGCUUUCUUUGUGGAAGAUGGAACUGAAACAGCAGUAGGUGACCACUAGGGGGCGAAUGUGUCCUCAGAUUAAUGUCCACCAUGAACUUGAAUAGGC
ensembl:lncRNA